AUGACCUAGAGUGAUAGUUUUGCCUCGUGGAAACAAGUUCCUGAAACCCAAAAGAGGGAGACAUUAAAUGAAAGGAAGAAAAAAGUUACAAUACAAGUAUGUUUGAACGAUCCAGUAUUUUUAUUUUUUUUAAUGAAAACAGGCUUUUAAUACUAGACACGCUCGGUGUUAAGAGAGAGAAUAGACGGAGUGAUGAUAGUGGAGGCGGGUAGCACCAUGUAGAGCAGCAGGGGUCUCUCUUCUCCCUCCCUCACGCAUGGGCUUCAAGCACAGGUAUUAUGGCAUGUAAAAAGAUAAGUGUGCAUCGCUGAGCUAGAAUCGAACACCUUGAUAACCCCCAUGCAUACACGUCAGGUACUGGUUACACACGUACGAGUACGCUCGACACCCACCCGCAGGCAACACACAGGUAACACAUUGAUAGUCGCGCUGCUAUGAUGGUUGGGGCUGAAUCACCAUGUUUAAAGGAACGCCCCUGCUUAAAGGAAUGUAACCCUCUGAGCGUCUCAGAAUUUUAACUAUUUUUAUAAAAAGAAAACGCAAGACAUAACCAAAACUGUGUAACCCAAAUCUCGAGGGGAUGAUAAGUCUAAUUAAGUCUAAAGAUAAACACGAGACAACACCACAUUAUGAAACAUCGUAUGAGCGACAAGUGUGUACCGAGAAGCAAUGCCAGGACCCAGACCGAGACCCAGACGAACUUGAGGGAGUGAAGUGUAACCGUUCGUGGGUCAGGAAGAGAUAAGACAUGAUGACGCGCCUUCCUGUUGUUGUUUUUAGGAGAGAGAGAGAGAGAGAGAGAGAGAGAGAGAUACAAAGAAAGAAAACACGGAGAUGGCAGACGAAGAGAAACAAACAGCAAAUAGUAUCAAGGAUGAAGCAAGAAAGAACACAUUGCUGGUUGCAUGCUUGAAAGAAGAUACCCUUAAGAGAGAGAGAGAGAGAGAGAGAGAGAGAGAGAGAGAGAGAGAGAGAGAGAGAGAGAGAGAGAUAACGCAGACAUUGAUACUAGGAGAACGAUAAGGCGCCUCCACAAGUACGACGGUGACAGUGAGUGUUGGUCAGUCGGCGUUGCUGCGUCAAGUGUUCGGUGGGAGUAACGCAGUAAGUCCUACAGUGUGUUGCUACUCGCUGCAUCACGGAGAGAGAAAAAAAGCAACGUGCAUAAUUUAUAAUGGUGUUUGUUAUACGCUGUUCUAACCUAGUGAGAACAUACACUAUUUGUAACGCUAUACAGUAAUGCACACAGAAAGAGAGAACUGAAUGAAAAAAAAAAUGUGGAAAAGUUGACAUUCAUAACCGCUAGUGAGGUUAGAUGUAAUUGAUUUAAAUGUUUUACAAUGAUGGUGACAGAGAGAAAUAUGUGGUAAAAUAAAUGUGACUUGUGGUUUUGAAAUGGCAUGUGAUAUUCCUGGCUUGUCAACUUGCCGCUGUGCACGAAAUGAUAAGAAAUGUGGGUCAAGAUUUUUUAUCACUGCUUCUGUCGCGCUCGAGAGAGACAUUCCCGUAAAACAAAAAACAAAAAAAAAAACUACUUCGUGUCUUUUUAGAUAAGGGAAUCAUUUAUAUAGUGUAGUUUUUUAGGUGAGAAAACCGGUCAGAUAGUGUUGUUUGGUGUUGUCAAUGGUGUAUGCGUCAGUUAAAGGCCCAGACACUGAGACGCGCGCGAGGCUCAGCUUAUCAGUGCUCCACGAUUGGCACAACUCCGGGAGAAGUGGACGACAUCGUGACCUUUAUGAUAACAUUAACAACAACAACAACAACAACAACAACAACAACAACAACAGCAACAAUAAUAAUAAUAAUAAUAAUAAUAAUAAUAAUAAUAAUAAUAACAAUAAUAAUAAUAAUAAUAAUAAUAAUAAUAAUAAUAAUAAUAAUAGUAAUAAUGGUAAUAAUAAUAAUAAUAACAAUAAUGAUAAUAAUAAUAAUAAUAAUAAUAAUAAUAAUAAUAAUAAACAAUAGUAAUCAUCGCAAUAAUAAUAAAAACAACUAUAAUGACUGCUACUACUACUACUACUACUACUACUACUACUACUACUACUGUUACUACUACUAUUACUUCUACUUCUACUACUACUACUACUACUACUACUACUACUACUACUAUACCACCAGCACCACCACUACUACUACUCCUACUACUACUAAUACUAAAUAGUAGGAGUAGUAGUAGUAGUAGUAGUAGUAGUAGUAGUAGUAGUAGUAGUAGUAGUAUUGCUCACCAAAAAAUAUUACAUCACUCGAUCAGCUAUUAUAAAAAAAUAUAUAUUAGCAUUUCAAGUAACGAAGUAGCGAGCAUAUUCUAGGAAGGAAAGGCGUAGACACGUUCCCUGCCAAGUUUUCGAUGAAGGCAAAACGUUUUCAUACCGGCCGUGGAGCAACGUUUUCGUUUUUUAUUUUUUCCUGUUAUCCGCUGAUAUAAUUUUACCCCCUGUCUUGUUCUCGUCAUACAUUUCUUUUUCUUAUCUGCAUCACAAAGAAUGGAGUCAAAGUUUACAAUAAGCGUGAAGUAACGUUUUCACGCAGUCUUGUAAUUCCAUCUGAACGCUUCAUGUUUUUGUCUUAUCUUGUUUUUAUCUGCGUCAUUCAUGUUAAACAAAAGGCUUUUCUACACGCACCUUAUGCAAACACUUGAGAAGACGGAUCUGCAGAGAGAGAGAGAGAGAGAGAGAGAGAGAGAGAGAGAGAGAGAGAGAGAGACGCAGUGAUAAAAGUCAAGUGUUUAAGUUAAUCGCACUCAUAAAACACAUGUGCGUAGAGAACGUGUGGGUGUAAGUAGAAGCGACCUCUGCCUUACUUAAAUUAAAGGCGACGGGAACGUAAAGUGUCGUUGUGGUGGUGGUGGUGGUAGUGGUGAUGAUGUUGAUGAUGAUGCUGGUGACGAAGACGAAGAGUGUUGGUAACCAUGUGAAGGGGGGGAGAGGGUGGAGGGGAGGCAAAAUUACUAAUAGAGGGGAAAUUGAAAGACUAGUGGAGGCCUUAACUUAUCUAGAGUGGAAGAGAAUACGAAAAGUGUGUGGAGACUAAAACUAGAAAGAAAAAAGGUGCAGUGUAGAGGGAAAUGUAUAAAGACCAGGAAAAAAAGAUAGAAAAAGACAGCCGUAGAGAAAUAAGAGAAAUAUCACACACAGGAUAAAAAGUAACACAAAAAGUCUGGCGGAGAGAGAAAAAAAGUGCAGUGGUAAGAAAGAGACAGAGGAAAGACAAGUAGAGAACGGGUGGGAAAAACAGUUGUGGAGAUUAUAAGAAAAACUCGACACAAAAAGUUAUACAAAAAGUUUGGAGCAAAGGAAGGAGAGAACCUUUGGGAAAAAAGCGAGAACCAUGGAGGAUAUGCUGAGGAAGAUGCUGACUUCUGAGGAAAAGGUGAGUGUCGCUUCUGAGUCCACGUGAACUGCAAAGCCUGGAAGUAUGGUGAUUAUUGUUGUUGUUGUUGUUGUUGUUGUUAUUAUCAUUAUUGUUGUUGUUGUUGUUGUUGUUCUUGUAGUCAUUGCUGUUACUGCUAAGGCAACAUCUGAUAUUUUUAUACCCACUAGUACGGCACAACCGCAGUGGGUGGGUAGGAACCUUUGCCUUUAUUAUCUUACAUGUCUUUUUGCUGCUGUGCAAUAACUAAAAGGUCUGUUGUUAUUUGUGUUCCAAUGUGUUUCAUAACAACCCUUUCACUCCUCAAACUUGUCUUCUUCCACCUGCCUUUCUUCCUUUCUUCUCUCUGCCAUAUGCUUCUAAUCUUACUUUAAAAUACUGAAUCCAAUUAUCAUUUUCCUUUUCUUCUGUCUUCUUAAAACCUUUAGUAUAUUCUCUUCUUUUUUGCCUAUCCUUACACACACACACACACACACACACACACACACACACACACACACACACACACACACACACACACACACACACACACACACACACACACACACACACACACACACACACACAC